GCCAACAUAGCUCAGCCGGUAGAGCAGCUGAUUCGUAAUCAGCAGGUCGUGGGUUCAAGUUCCGUUGUUGGCUCCA
rnacentral:tRNA from 1 species